rnacentral:rRNA from 1 species
AGAAUCAACGCUGGCGGCGUGCCUAACACAUGCAAGUCGAACGAGAAAGUGGGAGCAAUCCCAUGAGUAAAGUGGCGCACGGGUGAGUAACACGUGACUAACCUACCCUUGAGUGGGGGAUAACCUAGGGAAACCUGGGCUAAUACCGCAUAAUACCUACGGGUCAAAGGAGCAAUUCGCGUUUAGGAGGGGGUCGCGGCAGAUUAGUUAGUUGGCGGGGUAAUGGCCCACCAGACAGUGAUCU